rnacentral:rRNA from 1 species
UGCAGUCGAACGGUGAAGCAGAGCUUGCUCUGUGGAUCAGUGGCGAACGGGUGAGUAACACGUGAGCAAUCUGCCCCUGACUCUGGGAUAAGCGCUGGAAACGGCGUCUAAUACCGGAUACGAGCUGCGACCGCAUGGUCAGUAGCUGGAAAGAAUUUCGGUCAGGGAUGAGCUCGCGGCCUAUCAGCUUGUUGGUGAGGUAAUGGCUCACCAAGGCGUCGACGGGUAGCCGGCCUGAGAGGGUGACCGGCCACACUGGGAACUGAGACACGGCCCAGACUCCUACGGGAGGCAGCAGUGGGGAAUAUUGCACAAUGGGCGCAAGCCUGAUGCAGCAACGCCGCGUGAGGGAUGACGGCCUUCGGGUUGUAAACCUCUUUUAGCAGGGAAGAAGCGAAAGUGACGGUACCUGCAGAAAAAGCGCCGGCUAACUACGUGCCAGCAGCCGCGGUAAUACGUAGGGCGCAAGCGUUAUCCGGAAUUAUUGGGCGUAAAGAGCUCGUAGGCGGUCUGUCGCGUCUGCUGUGAAAACCCGAGGCUCAACCUCGGGCCUGCAGUGGGUACGGGCAGACUAGAGUGCGGUAGGGGAGAUUGGAAUUCCUGGUGUAGCGGUGGAAUGCGCAGAUAUCAGGAGGAACACCGAUGGCGAAGGCAGAUCUCUGGGCCGUAACUGACGCUGAGGAGCGAAAGGGUGGGGAGCAAACAGGCUUAGAUACCCUGGUAGUCCACCCCGUAAACGUUGGGAACUAGUUGUGGGGUCCAUUCCACGGAUUCCGUGACGCAGCUAACGCAUUAAGUUCCCCGCCUGGGGAGUACGGCCGCAAGGCUAAAACUCAAAGGAAUUGACGGGGACCCGCACAAGCGGCGGAGCAUGCGGAUUAAUUCGAUGCAACGCGAAGAACCUUACCAAGGCUUGACAUAUAGAGGAAACGUCUGGAAACAGUCGCCCCGCAAGGUCUCUAUACAGGUGGUGCAUGGUUGUCGUCAGCUCGUGUCGUGAGAUGUUGGGUUAAGUCCCGCAACGAGCGCAACCCUCGUUCUAUGUUGCCAGCACGUAAUGGUGGGAACUCAUGGGAUACUGCCGGGGUCAACUCGGAGGAAGGUGGGGAUGACGUCAAAUCAUCAUGCCCCUUAUGUCUUGGGCUUCACGCAUGCUACAAUGGCCGGUACAAAGGGCUGCAAUACCGUGAGGUGGAGCGAAUCCCAAAAAGCCGGUCCCAGUUCGGAUUGAGGUCUGCAACUCGACCUCAUGAAGUCGGAGUCGCUAGUAAUCGCAGAUCAGCAACGCUGCGGUGAAUACGUUCCCGGGUCUUGUACACACCGCCCGUCAAGUCAUGAAAGUCGGUAACACCUGAAGCCGGUGGCCCAACCCUUGUGGAGGGAGCCGUCG